UUGGCAGGAGCACUUUGCCAUCAACUUGGAAGUCGAUUUUCCUGCACUUGGUCCAGUACAUUGUGGACUCACCCUGUUGUCAAGUCGUAAGGAAGUUGGAUGAUGCUGUCUUCUUCCAGCUAAAUUAUGCAACUACUAAGAAGGGGAUGAGAAUUAUAUUUUGUAGCAGUUAUUUUACAAACAAAUGUUAGUAAAAUUUUUCUUGGUUGUAGUAGU